rnacentral:rRNA from 1 species
GUGUCAGCAGCCGCGGUAAGACAGAGGUGCCAAGCGUUAGGCGGAAUCACUGGGCUUAAAGCGUGUGUAGGCGGAUCGUUAAGUGUCUUGUGAAAUCCCACGGCUCAACCGUGGAACUGCUUGACAGACUGGCGAUCUUGAGCCAGCUAGGGGCGACCGGAACAAACGGUGGAGCGGUGAAAUGCGUAGAUAUCGUUUGGAACGCCAAUGGUGAAAACAGGUCGCUGGGGCUGUGCUGACGCUGAGACACGAAAGCCAGGGGAGCAAACGGGAUUAGAUACCCGGGUAGUCC